AGAUGAACAAGUGCUGUGGUCUCCGUACUACCUGGAAGCUCCAUAGUCACUGAUGGGACCAGAAGUGGCAUGAUAAGCAGUACAAGAAAGCCCACUUGGGCACUGCCCUGAAGGCCAAUCUGUUUGGGGUGCCUCUCAUGCAAAGGGAAUUGUGCUGGAAAAAGUAGGGGUUGAGGCCAAACAGCCAAAUUCUGCCAUCAGGAAGUGUGUCAGGGUGCAGCUUGUUAAGAACAGCAAGAUGACAGCCGUGAUGGCCCCGUGGUGGCCGCGUGAUGGCCGCCUGGCGGCGUGGAGGAGAAUGAUGAGGCUCUGGUGCUGAGUUGGGUUGAAAAGGUCACGCUGGAGGUGUUAUUCCUGGAGUCCGCUUUAAGGCCGUUAAAGUAGCCAAGGUGUCUCUUUUGGCUCUAUGCAAAGGCGAGAAGGAAAGACCAAGAUC
rnacentral:lncRNA from 1 species